UCCCUGGUAGUAUAUCGGUUUAGUACACGCGCCUGUCACUAUGUUCGCGCGAAAGCUGGGUUCGACUCCCAGCCAGGGAG